rnacentral:rRNA from 1 species
AUUGAACGCUGGCGGCAGGCCUAACACAUGCAAGUCGAGCGGAGCGGCGGACGGGUGAGUAAUGCCUAUGAAUCUGCCUGGUCGUGGGGGAUAACGUCCGGAAACGGGCGCUCAUACCGCAUACUCUCAGAUGAGCCUAGAUCGGAUGAGCGAGUUGGUGGGUUAAAGGCCUACCAAGGCGACGAUCCCUAGCUGGUCUGAGAGGAUGACCAGCCACAGUGGAACUGGGACAAGGUCUAGACUCCGACGGGAGGCAGCAGUGGGGAAUAUUGCACAAUGGGCGCAAGCCGGAUGCAGCCAUGCGGCGUGUAUGAAGAAGGGCUUCGGGGUGUAAAGUACGUGCAGCGGGGAGGCGGUACCUGCAGAAGAAGCACCGGCUAACUCCGUGCCAGCAGCCGCGGUAAUAC